UACGUAGGGUGCAAGCGUUGUCCGGAAUUAUUGGGCGUAAAGAGCUCGUAGGCGGUUUGUCGCGUCUGCUGUGAAAACUCGGGGCUUAACCCUGGGCCUGCAGUGGGUACGGGCAGACUAGAGUGCGGUAGGGGAGACUGGAAUUCCUGGUGUAGCGGUGAAAUGCGAAGAUAUCAGGAGGAACACCGGUGGCGAAGGCGGGUCUCUGGGCCGAUACUGACGCUGAGGAGCGAAAGCGUGGGGAGCGAACAGG
rnacentral:rRNA from 1 species